rnacentral:rRNA from 1 species
GACGAACGCUGGCGGCGUGCUUAACACAUGCAAGUCGAACGAAGUGGCGAACGGGUGAGUAACGCGUAAUCAACCUGCCCUUCAGAGGGGGACAACAGUUGGCAACGACUGCUAAUACCGCAUACUGAAGGAGGGGAUUGCGUCUGAUUAGCUAGUUGGAGGGGUAACGGCCCACCAAGGCGAUGUUCAGUAGCCGGUCGUAGAGGAUGAACCGGCAAAUUGGGACUGGGAAACGGCCCAGAAUCCUAAGGGAGGCAGCAAGGGGGAAUUUUCCGCAAUGGACGAAAGGCUGACGGAGCAACUCCGCGUGAGGGAUGACGGCCUUCGGGUUGUAAAGCUCUGUUAAUCGGGACGCGGUACCGGAAGAGAAAGCACCGGCUAACUACGUGCCAGCCGCCGCGGUAAUUC